rnacentral:rRNA from 1 species
GACGUAGGGCGCGAGCGUUGUCCGGAUUUAUUGGGCGUAAAGAGCUCGUAGGCGGCUUGUCGCGUCGUCCGUGAAAACCUGGGGCUCAACCCCAGGCUUGCGGUCGAUACGGGCAGGCUCGAGUUCGGUAGGGGAGACUGGAAUUCCUGGUGUAGCGGUGAAAUGCGCAGAUAUCAGGAGGAACACCAGUGGCGAAGGCGGCUCACUGGUCCGGUACUGACGCUGAGGUGCGAAAGCGUGGGGAGCAAACAGG